AUGCAUCUCGCAAUCCUCUACACGACAAGCAUUCGCAAGAGCAAGUCGACGAGCAAGUACUUCGUCCUCAACCACACCAAGUUGCUUUUGCUCCAGCUCAAGAACGACAACGACAACGGCGCCAAGAGGAAGAACGAGCGCGUAUACAUCAAGAGGAACAAGACGCCGAGGCUCAACGUCUUCAACAACAACAACGUGAAGCGCAAGCUCUUGAGGCGCAAUGUGCCCUUCAAGAAUCAAGUCGACCCAUUCCCAACCGCAACCGAGAUCGGCGUAAUCAAGAGGAAGCACUUCGAGAAGAAAUCCAAGUGCGGAACUAACAACCACGAGUGCAACAUCAAGCUCCUCCACAAGCUCGUCAAGCUCCUCCACAACCUCAAGUUCAACAAGAGCAAGUUGAUCAUGGACUUCCUCCAUGCCAAGAGCAACAUGCCUCACUGUCAAGGGCGUCAUCAUCACCAUCGCCAACAACACAAUGAAGAGCAAUGCUACGGCAAGCUAAAAUUCACCAUGACCAAGUUCAAUGGAAGCAAUGAUCCCGAAGAGUACCUAUCAUGGGCAUUGAAGGUCGACAAAAUCUUUCGUUUGCACAACUAUGAGGAAGAGAAGAAGAUCGCUAUGGCAUCACUUGAGUUCCAAGAUUAUGUGCUCAUAUGGUGGGAACAAGUCCUUGAGCGCCGAGAAGCAAGAGGUGAACAACACAUCACCACUUGGCCUCAAAUGAAGGAUGUCAUGCGAGCACGUUUUGUGCCCACAUACUACAACCGCGACCUCUUCAAAAAGCUACAACUCCUCAAGCAAGGAACAAAGAGUGUUGAAGAAUACUACAAGGAAAUGGAGAUAGCCAUGAUUCGAGCCAAUGUUACGGAAGAUGAUGAGCAAACUAUGGCAUGUUUCUUGAAUGGACUCAAUCAUCCCAUCAAGAAUAUUGCCGACUUCCAACCCUACUCCAACCUCAUUGAGCUCGUGCAUCAAGCUACCAAGGCGGAACGCCAAGUGCAAGAUGAUUUCAAGUACGCCAAGUACUCAUCCAAGAACUAUGGCUUCUCCAACAACCAAGCUUCAACGACUCCUCCAACUUCGAUCUCAACCAAGCCAUCUACAACCAACGAUGACAAGUCAGGUUACAAGAAAACUGCAACAAGCUCAAGUCGUCUUCCUCCUACUACAAGCAACUUCAAGCCGCGUGCUUCAUCAUCUACUCCGACCGAUGAGACCGUCAAGACAAGCUCCUUCAAGUGUUUCACGUGCGGCAGCCGAGGCCACAAGUCCUACGAAUGA
rnacentral:rRNA from 1 species